UACGUAGGGGGCAAGCGUUGUCCGGAAUCAUUGGGCGUAAAGCGCGCGUAGGCGGCCCCGUAAGUCCGCUGUGAAAGUCAAAGGCUCAACCUUUGAAAGCCGGUGGAUACUGUGGGGCUAGAGUACGGAAGAGGCGAGUGGAAUUCCUGGUGUAGCGGUGAAAUGCGCAGAUAUCAGGAAGAACACCCGUGGCUAAGGCGGCUCUCUAGUACGGUACUGACGCUGAGACGCGAAAGCGUGGGGAGCGAACAGG
rnacentral:rRNA from 1 species